rnacentral:rRNA from 1 species
UGUGAACUGCAGGACACAUGAACAUUGACAAUUUGAACGCACAUUGCGGCCCUAG